rnacentral:rRNA from 1 species
UACGUAGGGUGCAAGCGUUGUUCGGAAUCAUUGGGCGUAAAGCGCGUGUAGGCGGUUAAUUAAGUCGGGUGUGAAAUCCCUAGGCUCAACCAAGGAAGUGCAUCCGAAACUGAUUAGCUAGAAGAUGGUAGAGAAAGGUGGAAUUCCAAGUGUAGAGGUGAAAUUCGUAGAUAUUUGGAGGAAUACCGGUGGCGAAGGCGGCCUUUUGGGCCAUUCUUGACGCUGAGACGCGAAAGCGUGGGUAGCAAACAGG